GCCAGCUGUUUAAGGUGGGCAGUGGCUUGCGAUGGUGCUAACAUUGCGGGUGGUGGAGUGCAGCUGCUUGUUGUUCAGCAUUUCGGUAAUGAUUGGGGACCUCACAUUUCCCACUGUCAGAGUACCAGCUGCGUUUCCCCCAUGUUACUCAGGUAUGAUGCUUGUACCCUGGUGCUGCUGCCUUCAGUCCCUGAAGGAGUGUAGCCAAGAGGUGCUGCUGGUGUUCUGGAGGCUUCCAACACCCUCUGGAGCAGGGUAUUUCUGGGGUGAGCUUCUUGGGCAACUUCCAGGAGCAAUCCUGUCCCCAUCCUGAGGCUGAACCAGCACUUGCUCAUCCCCCUGCUCUGGGAUGCCCCAUUCCAGUUUAGUUUUCAGUCCUUUCAGGUGGGGAAAGUUUUGAGACCUGUAAAAUACAGAGAGGGAAGGUUCUCGAGGAGCACAGGCCAAGCAAGGGCAACAACCACUUGUCAUUUUUGUUCUCUGCAAAGAGCAAUUAUUGCCCAUCAAACUCAGCCCUUCUGCUUUGACCUGGAGGUGGCUGCACCCCUUGCCCUUUGCUUGUCCUUGUUCUGGUGGCAGGGUAUUAGAGUGCUCCCCAAGGGUUAGCCACCACGAGUUACUGCUCCAGCAGCUUUCCCAGUUUGAUCCAGCAUCUGUUGGAGCAAACAUUCAUGUCUGUAUUUACAAGAAGGAUUUGUGGCUUCCUAUUGACUGUUUCCUAGGGACUACUUCCAGACCCCACCUACCAGCUGAGAUGAACCCUCCAUGUGGUGCAGCAUGGUGUUCCCAUGCGUCUCAAGAAUACACACUGCAAAAAAUCAACACUGAUUUUCUUACACGGGCCCAGCAUUUGGAAGUCCAGCUAGUUUUGACAGCAGGCAGGAAUCCCCCAACUUGGUUGCAGGCUCGGGGAGCAAGAAGAGUUUCCCAGAAAGGCUUUCCCAAUUUGGGGCUGCAGCUCUUUUGCUUUGCACUGCACAUGCUGCUUGGCUUGUCCUCCGAGUGGCUCCUGCCUGGCUGCUGCUCUGCAGCUUUGAGCAAAACAGCCCGGGGUAAGGGAACAACUGAUAAAUGCUGGUUUG
rnacentral:lncRNA from 1 species